GUAACAGUGGCUCAGCGGGUAAGAGCCCUGGCUGCUCUUCCAGAGGACCUGGGUUCAAUCCCCAGCACCCACA
rnacentral:tRNA from 1 species